rfam:Perkinsela sp. CCAP 1560/4 XT18scaffold_13, whole genome shotgun sequence.
GCAGCUGUACCGAAGUGGUUAACGGGAUGCCCUGCUAAGGCAUUGUGCUUUGCAUGCGCAGGUUCGAACCCUGCCGGCUGCG